GACGAACGCUGGCGGCGUGCCUAAUACAUGCAAGUCGAGCGCAGGAAACUGACGGAACUCUUCGGAGGGAAGGCAGUGGAAUGAGCGGCGGACGGGUGAGUAACACGUAAGGAACCUGCCUCAAGGAUUGGGAUAACUCCGAGAAAUCGGAGCUAAUACCGGAUAGUUCAUCGGACCGCAUGGUCCGUUGAUGAAAGGCGCUCCGGCGUCACCUUGAGAUGGCCUUGCGGUGCAUUAGCUAGUUGGUGGGGUAACGGCCCACCAAGGCGACGAUGCAUAGCCGACCUGGGUGGGUGAUAGGCCACACUGGGACUGAGACACGGGCCAGACUCCUACGGGAGUCAGCAGUAGGGAAUCUUCCACAAUGGACGAAAGUCUGAUGGAGCAACGCCGCGUGAGUGAUGAAGGUUUUCGGAUCGUAAAACUCUGUUGUAAGGGAAGAACACGUACGAGAGGGAAUGCUCGUGCCUUGACGGUACCUUACGAGAAAGCCACGGCUAACUACGUGCCAGCAGCCGCAGUAA
rnacentral:rRNA from 1 species